rnacentral:rRNA from 1 species
CCUACGGGAGACAGCAGUGGGGAAUAUUGCACAAUGGGGGAAACCCUGAUGCAGCGACGCCGCGUGAAGGAAGAAGUAUUUCGGUAUGUAAACUUCUAUCAGCAGGGAAGUAAAUGACGGUACCUGACUAAGAAGCCCCGGCUAACUCCGUGCCAGCAGCCGCGGUUAGACGUAGGGGGCAAGCGUUAUCCGGAUUUACUGGGUGUAAGGGGAGCGUAGGCGGUUUAGCAAGUCAGAUGUGAAAGCUGGGGGCUCAACAGGGAGACUGCUUUUGAAACUGUGGAACUUGAGUGCAGGUGAGGAAGGCGGAAUUGGUGGUGUAGAGGUGAAAGGAUUAGAGA